AUCCAGAGAUUUAUCAUUUGAUAGGAAGAUAAUUUAACAACUAAAUGGGAAUCACUAUUUUAUGUAAGGAGAAAUCAGUAUUUGGGAAAAGAAAGUCCUUAUCUAAAACACCGACGUGACCUUCAUACAAUGUAAUACUACUCUGCAAUAAAAAGGAACAAACAGAGCACAGGCCGGUGGCUUCCAUCGAAAAUGCCGGCGCUGCCUGUGUCCCGCAUUACCAGAAGAGGCUUCUUGUGGAUAGUCUCAGGGGCGCCACGCAGAGAAUUUUGGUCUCGAUCCAGAAAGGAGAAAGAGCCAGUGGUAGCUGAGACAGUAGAAAAGGUAAAAAAGGAACCUAUCCUGGUGUGUCCACCCUUACGAAGCCGAACAUACAUAGCACCUGAAGAUCUCCAGAGUCGUUUGGAAUCUUAUGUUAAAGAAGUUUUUGGUUCAACUCUGCCUAGUAAUUGGCAGGAUAUCUCCCUGGAAGAUGGUCGUCUGAAGUUCAAUCUCUUAGCACAUUUAGCUGAUGACUUGGGCCAUGCAGUCCCUAACUCCAGGCUUCACCAGAUGUGCAGGGUCAGAGAUGUUCUUGAUUUCUAUAAUGUCCCUGUUCAAGAUAGAUCUAAAUUUGAUGAACUUAAUGCCAGUAAUCUGCCUCCUAAUUUGAAAAUCACUUGGAGUUAUUGAGCAGAAGGGGAGCACAUUGAAAUCAUUUUCCCCUUGAGGAAGGGGGUUGCUUAUUAGACCUCUUAGUAUAUAAAAUGCCAUUUUGAACUAUUCUCUAAACCACUUUUUCUGUAGAAGAAUACAUCAUCUCUUUUUUUGUCUCAUAUCAUGAAUCAACAAAGAAAUAACAGGAUUUUUUAUCUUCACAUUUGCCAAAGCCAUUUUUUUAAAUGGAAUCGAGUCAUUAAUAAUUUAUGAAAAAUUUCUUCUUGAGAAAACACUGAAAUUAACUUGAUCUUAAUACAGAAGGACAUUACAAGUUUAGACCCUUCAUUGGCAUAAAGUAAUAGUUGCAUGAAAAUGUUUUAAUUCUGUUAGGACUCUAAAAUCCAAGAUAGAAUUAUUAUAUCUAGCACAUAUACAAUUAAAGAAACUUGUAUUAGAUUAAGUAUUUAUAAGAGAAACAUAAACAUCU